UUCUCUCUGUGUAUAAAAAAUUUUGAUUUUAUAAUCUAAAACUACCUUAAAUAUGAUUUUAUUUUCUAUAUUACGUGCGAUUCGUAAUCGAAACUCUUUGAUUCGAAAUUAUUGAAUAGCUAUUUUAUUGUUAAAUAGUUGUUUAAAUUCGACAACAGAUUCAAAUUUCAAUCAAAUUUUAUCAUAUCUGAUUAGUAUUCAAAUAGUUCGUAUAUCUCUAGUUCCUUUAAAUUAAUUAAUGUCUUUUAAUCAAUAUAUACAUAAAUUGAAUUGAUCUCAUAAAUUCAGCAUCAGUAACUCUAUUAUAGAUUUUGACGUUAAUCCGGAGGAUUAAUUGAUUAACAAAUUCUUAUUUCAUACAUUAAAUACAUUUACACGUAAUUUCACAGUAUUAAAAAUAAUGUUGCAGCUGAUGACAGAUGACAUGUCUAUAAUUUACGGCGAUAGCAGGUGGCAGUAAGAACAUCUUUGAAGAGCUUUUGAAGGAAGGAAUAUGAAACCAAGGGCAGUUUAUAUCAAAUUUAUCAUCUCUCUCACUCUCUCCCUCCCUCUCUCUCUUUCUCCCUGUGCAAACAAAAGAUUUUUUUUUUAUACCACCCCGCAAUACUGGGUAGUAAACAGAUUCGCUCUGCAGUUCACAACCACAGUGCAGGCAAACAAAAUAACCACCCUCUCCAUGUAACCCCUAAAAAAUUAUACGACGCAAAUCUCUCCCCGUAGAAAAAGCUUAUCUGAAACGUACAUAAAAACGUAUCCCGUAAAGUUAUAACCUAUGAAAUAUAAUUUACACUCUAGAUCUAUUUUAUCACUUUGAGAAUAUUCAUGCGCAUGUAGAAAAAAUAAAAAUUAUUAAACAGGUCAGGAAGGUGGCACAAGCGAAUAGCGUAUAUAAAUGUAAAUCUAGUUUAAAAUAUCUUACUUCCGUUACAGAGAUUUAAUACUGACAAUAUUAAAUUGUGCAGAUGCAUUGACCUCUUGAGUAUUUAAAUGAAACCUUCUAUUGUUAAUGCAUGUUAUAUUCAAAUAUUAAUAAUUAAAUAAUAGUUUAUUCUAAAAAUAAUAUUUUCAACUAGUAAUAUUUAAACUAAUACUUAAAAUCAAUAAUUAAUCAAUUUACUUAAAUUAGCUGGCACAAUAUAAUACCGUCAAUAUUAAAUUUCCGUAAGAAGUAGAUAAUAUCUUUACUUAACCUGGAAAUAAUCAUCUCAUGUUUUAGUAAAUCAUACUUGGUAUAAUAUUUGAUUGAUUUUAUAACGUAUCAUUUGGUGUAUUUUUAUAUUCUAGUUACACUUAAUAGAUCGAUCGGUAAUAUGAAUAUACGAAUCAAAGCUUGUUUCUAUUGUACUAAUUGGAUCUCAACAUCCUCGAAUAAAAAAUAGAUAUGAAUUUUAGUAAAAAAAUUUGCUGUUACGUGAGUUUUACUUUUCCAACGCUGGCAUGUAAAAGACAUCCCGGAACUAUUCUCGGAUUAAAUUAGAUUUACAUAAUAAUGUAAAUACACAGUUUCAUCGGUUAAUAUCUAAAUAAGCAUACCGAUUUAAUAGAUAAAUAUUUUAGUUUGUUAAUUUAUAGACAAGCAAUUAGUUUUUCUUGUCCUUGCUCGAAAUAGCUUUACAGUGGCUUUAACGAGUUUUACAACUACAAGCCUCAAAUAUAAUCAUUCCUAAGAAACUUUCUAAGAAUCAGAAACUCGUUAAGACUCCACGGGGAAAUAUUCAAAAGGCAAAAGUUAUGCGGGUAACGAAUCAGUCGAAACCUCCGUAUACUUCGAGAUAGGCUUUAUUAUUACUUUGAUGCGUAGGAAGAUCAACCAACUUCAUGGCGAAUGGGGAGAUUACCGCGGCGGACGCUGUAUUUUCACGGGGGCGGCAGUCAUAUUUAAACCUGUUUACACGCAAAAAGCCCGGAUGAAAGUUAGCCUAUAACACUUAGGACCACUCACGCGCCUCCUAGCGAAUUAAGCUGAUGAAAUAGGGCAUUCGAGGGAAGAAUAAGAGAAAGGCGGAGAAAGGCAAAGUGGAUGUUCCGCGAGCGAAGAUGGAAGAAAGGCGUAAAUCAAGUAGUUUGCCCUCCAGCACCUGGCCCUGACAGAUCGGGUACUCCUCCCGAGCUUUCUUACCGCCGAUCUCGGGGGCAAAAAGAAAGGGAAACGGAGAACGGGGGUACGCGCGCGUUGCAUACGCCCACGCGCUAAUGCUCCCCCCGUCCGUAUUAAUUUCACAUGGCGUUACAGCGUUCAAAUUACAACUGAGGUAUUGCCUGCAUAACAGAUCGCGCGAGGUAAAAUUAAAUGAAAUUCACUUGUUGCGAGCCUGCGUGAAAGUUUGAAGAAUCUCUUAUUCCCGGCUCCAAGGGUAUAUGUUACGUCGGAGAAGAAUUAGAUUCUCGGAAAGUACUAAAAGCGAAGAAAACUCCUGCGCGCCGUAUGUAUAAGAGAAAUACAAGUAAAAAAUGGCUCUGUCUCUACUUGGAAUUUUUGAAAGUUUAACGAUGCGUGAUGGUUACUAUGUAACAUUUUCCACAUAUCCAUUUCGCAGAGAGACUCGUAAAGAAAAUAAGACAUACAGGGAUGGCAUAAGGACUGUACCGUGGAUAUCGUGCCUAUAUUGUUCAGAAAGAAAUUGGAUAGGAGACUGGACCUUAAAAGAUCGAGCGCAACAUGCUAAGAAAACAGACAUACCGAUGAUGCCGGAGAAGGCAGAAGAGGAGAAUGCGGUACUGGCAAACGUUAGAUUGCUUUAAGAAUUUAUUUGAAUGGUCCGGACAUUGCAAGACGCAUCUCCUUGUUCCUUCCUGCCUUACCAGCCGGCCACGUCGUACUUUAUCAUUUCGCAAAACUGUUGCGGCGAGGUUCUUUGAGAGUAGCAUGUCGAGUUUCCCCGAGAAUGUAGUGAGCAUUACCGUUAAGAAACGUUAAAAGCACUUGUUGCCACGUCGUUACCGUUACCAUUGAUAACCCGGCGCGUCUUCAGCUUUUUCAACGCCAUCAAGACCAUGUAAGUAAGUACAUGGAAAGCAACGAGUUUGCCGAAGUAUCUAAAAAAAUUUAGCUAGACAAAUCUCUGAAAACAAAUUUUAUUAUAUAAAUUAUUUUUACAUAACAAUUUAUAUUCAAUUUUAUUAUCAUCGAAAUAAUUAUAUGUAAAACCCUUAAUCCGAUUGCUAGAAUGUUAAAACUUUUUGCAGCACUGCUCAACUUUUUGAAUAUGCAUAAUUAUUUUGAUAGUGCAACAAAACUAUUUUUCAGAUUUGUAUUUGUUAGAUACUUCACAAAAAUUAUUUUUUCCAUGUAUGUAUGCUCAAAGUCCGCUACAAUUCUGACAUGCUUUAUACUAAAAAAAAAUGUUUAGUAAUAAUCUAAUAUCAAAUCCGAUAAUAAAUAUGAUGAUAAUUAUUAAGAUUUUGGUGAAGUAAUUUCAGUCAAAUAUAUUUAGUAUUGAUAACUGUUUAAUAAUUGUUUAGCGCCGAUUGAUUACUAUUAUGUUUGGUUACUAUUAAUGUAAUUAAUAGUAAUCAAGCUAAGUAUUAUAAUAAUAUUUGGUUAACAAACAUUAAAUUAAAAUUUCAGCAAAAACUUAUUUAAUAUUCUUAUAAAUUUUUUUUUUUAGUGUGUGUAAUAUGCAGAACUUUUAACUUUGAAAUACUACUAUAAAUGAAUCAAGAUACUUCAAGCGUUACAAUUUUUAUUAUUAUUAAAAUUUUAAUAGCUUAAAAUAGCAUUUAAUAAAAUAUUAUUUAUAUUAAGUUAUUAAAAUAAUGUUAGUCAUUUUAACAUCUUUCAUAAAGUAGAGAAUUUUUUUAAAAAUUCAUAAUUCAUAUAAAUAAAAUGUCAAUAAAUAAAAACUUCUUAAAUUUGAAACAAAGUCGAUUGAGCACGUAAGCCAAGUUGAAUAUGCAUGCUAAAUAUAUGUGAGAUGAAUUAGAGAAAAGAUUAAGCCUAGACGAAUUACAAAUCUCUGUACCGAGAUUUAUAAUUUCAAUGUUUUAUGUAAUUUGACACGUGAAAAGAAAACAUACGAAUAUGUAUUUUAACAAAAAAACGAAAUAUACACACAGGACUUAAUUUUUAAAAAAAUAAAGAAGAGACUAAAACUAAUCAAGCAUGGUUAAUGGACGCACAUUAUAAAUUAAUUCACCAAGUAUGUUAAGAAUAAAUCUGCAUUGUUUUUAUUGCUACACAUUUUAGCUUAUUUUGAACCAUCUUUAAUAUUUAAGAAAAACGUUAUAUAAAUUACUAUCUGCACGUUAAAAAUUAUCUCAAACUCUCCGUAGCAAAUAAUACAUCCUACUUUAAUUGUAUAAGUCAUGGCAAGUUGGACAGCUGGCAAGCUUAGUAGGGAAAAAUAUAUUUUAUUCAUGUUUAAAGUGUAACAAUACAUUGAUUACGUGGCCUGAAUAAUAAGAUAAAACAUUAAAACGUUAAUAUUUGACAAUAUAUUAUUGUUCAUCGUUAUAAAUAAUAUUUAGUACGCAUAUUCGGCUCAACUUAUAUGCUAUAUUUGUCGUAUUUUUCAUUAGCCAUAAUUUUGUAAAUAAAUUUCCAGAGUAGUAUUAAUGUAAAAGAAAAGAAUAAUAUUCCAAAAUUUAAAGCUAACAAUCUUUAAUUAUGCGAUAAUAAUUGGAAAUUUCAAUCUUUUUUUAAUCAGAAAAUAUAUAAUUGAUAGCGAAAGAAAGAGAAACGUAGGAAAAGAAAAAUAUAUAUUUCACUGAAACACUGAGAGAAAAGAAGGUCAACAGUUAGCGAGUGGAAUGUCCAGGGCGAUUCGUGUACUGCAUGCGCAAGUGGUCGCUUUGCCCAUCAGAAGACCAAUGCAGCAACUCGCGAAACAUUGAUCCAACCAUUCUACCACGACCGAAAUUUUCCAACCAUUGGCAUCCGGGGACAGAUCACAUGCCAUUUGCCGUUGCACGACUACCCUCGCACGGGGGAAAGGAAUAGACAUCCGUCACGCCGCUUGCGUAUCGCACGGCUAUUGUAUGCGGUCGUGCAGGGUUGUAAACACUCGUUUUAUUAUAUUUCAUUUAACCGGAAAUGUGUUUUUGAAUUUGCCUCGAAUAUCUGUUGACACGUUGCCGUUCAACGUCGAACGAAAACGUCAGUAAAUGUGGGCAGGCUCGCGUGGCAGUGAAAUUGGGACGGAAAGGGUUAAAUCAGUGAUGUGGGAGAUUAAAUAUGUACCGCACGAAAAAAUCGACGGCAUGUCCCCGUGAAUUUUUUCGAAUUUUUACGCGCGCUGCGUUCACACUUUACUUAUUCGGCGAAAAAAAAUAGAGAAUCGGACGGUAUUAAACUGUACCUAAUACCCGUCCGCAUAGCUCCUCUAUACUCGAAAGAAUUUAAUUUCGUGCAUUGUUCUUAGCUCGGCUGUGUUGCGCGGGAAUAUCUGGGGAUAGGAAAUAUCCGUGAACAGGAAAUCCCUUUGAAGAUAUAUGCCUCAGAUAUUCAAUAUCACUGACGCUUAAUAAACGGACCUCAGCGCGCUCCGGUAGAAUAAACGAAUCUCGCCCUUCCUUCAACUGUCACUCAACUGUGUUUUAAAUCUUGCAAAACUAAAUGAAAAAAAAUUUAUUAAAUUAUUCGUACAUUUCGCCGUUGCUGGCGUAUUUCAUUUGAAUUUCAAGAAGGAACAUACGAUUUUCUCAUUCAAAUCGGUGGAAUUUGACUUGUGUACUCUUUCUCACGGGACAGACAAGUCAAUGUGCCUUGUUUUAAGCGUAAAACAAUCGACUUUCAAGUCAACGUGACAGUAUAUUUUGUACAGUAUACUUUUGGUGCACACGCUCGCGGGACAAGCCAUCAGCUCAUCGCAUACCGGGCCAUUUCCUGCGGAGAACCAUUUCGGUUUAUACUGUCUUCCUCUUUUUCUUUUCGCCGGACACCGAACUUUUUUUGCGCCAUACCGUGGAAUUUAAUUCGUGCAUACAGCGCAAAAUUUAUUCUCAAAUUCUUCUAUACGCAACUCGCGGACUCCACCUCCUUCGCGUUCGACCUAGAAAUUUUUUCCGCUUACAGAUCCGCAGUGAAUUUCACAGCGGCAGUCGAGUAGGUAGGGAAAUUUAAGAGCGCCGAGUAUAUUUUGUUUCUCUCGCUGAUUAUUCUCUUCGCUUCCCUUCUCCCUCUUUCUUUUUUUUUUUUACAGCGCGCUGUGCGUGAGUGAAGCGAUACGUGUGCGAGGCUCGCGUUCGUAACGGUACGUGUAUCUUUUAACGUCAGAACCAGUGGUAACGGCGUGGCUUUACGAAGAUCGUAAAAGGGUUAUGGCGCGAAAUUUACCCACUAGAAUGCGCAAUAAGCUGAGGAAAAAAAGGAGCUUGAAAAACAUACUUUCAUGAAUCAUCGUGCAAAAGUGAAUGCUGCUGCGGUCAAGCCGAUUCAAUUCGAUACGAUAAUUAUUUAACGGGUAAUUUUCGUUUCUCGUUGAUUAUCUCGUCCGCAAAAGACUUUUUACAUUCGACAAGAGAGAUUUUUAUUGCUGCAAAAUUAUGGAUCGUAUUUAUUCAAUCAGAAUAGAGAAGGAUGAAAGAAGCAGCAUCGCUUGAUCUUUGCGCGCGGAAAAGCACCCUCAAACUGAAUUCAUUAUAUGAAUAGAGCGUUUCCUACCAUUCUUCUUCUGUUCUUCUUCAUUUCGAGCAAUAAGUACUUUCUUCUUUUCGAUGCUUUUUAGCGUAGAAAAGAGCUCACUCCUGGAACCAACAGACCGAGCAAUUUUAUCAAAGUUCUGGCUCAAAAGAUUUUCAUCUUUCCACUUGUUUCAUCCGAGAUGCACUGCUACAUAUAUUUAUACAUUUUCAGCGCCACUCCGAGAGUUAACUUGUUAUAAUACAAACAGCAUCGGUAAUAUUUCUACGGGUGCGAUCUUUUAGUGAUCGUUAUAAAUUUUUAGUAUAAAAAAAAAUAUUCAUCUAACAAUCGUACUCUAAAAUCAUUUUUUAAUAUUAUCGCUUCGUUGUCUAAAAAAAAUUGAAAAAAAUCGUUAUUACAGUAAGCUAAUCCACAUUUUGUUAAAAACAGAAGAAAUUAACUUUAAAGAUAAAGUAAUUAAUUAACUUUGAGCAAAAGUACGAAGAAAAAAUCUUUGCUAUAAAUAAUUGCUUUUAUUUGUGUAUAUAAAAGUCAUGAAAGAAGAUUAACACUUCACAAUAAUAAAUAAUAAUAAUAAUAAUAGUAAUAACCGUAAUAAUAGCAAUAGAGAAGAUAAUAUUACGGCCUUUGUCAAUAUAUUAUAACCAUUCAUAAAAUAUCUCAGUUAUUAGGUAUAAAUUCUAAUGAUUAGUUAUGAAAUCAUGUAACAGUUAUGGAAUUGCGUUAAUAUGCUUCAAAUGCAUAGCAAUCAACAUUUAUAAGGUAUUUUUAAAUAUUUUGAAACUUUUUUUAAGUAUAUUUGAAUUGAAUUACACAUACUUCUUUAUUUAUUUUAAACCGGGUCGUAUUGUUACGAAUAUAUGUAAACUUGAAUGUUUUUUUUUUCUUAUUUAACUUUUUAUUCGGCUGUAUACAUUUUAAAUUAUGCAAAGUUAAGUAACAUGGGAUUUUCUUAAUGUAACCCCUUAAAUGUACUUAUGUCUCACUAGAUAAUAUGAUAUUCUUUUUAGGAAGUUUUAUAUCAAGAUAGUUAUUCGAUAAAUUAAUUGUAUUUUUACAAUGCUAAACUAUAAUUUACCUUAUAUGUAUUAUAGUUUUCCAGCACCGCAGUCUAUAUGUGGAAAACUUACAUGUACAUACAUAUGUACGUACAUACAUUUGCAUAUAUUCUACUAAACUCUUUUUAUUUUAAAUAAAAAUUAAUUUUAUAAUAAAACAUUUUUUAUUGAAAUCAAUUUAAAUUAUUUGUCGUGGGUCAUAUUACUAUCUCUGUUUUUCUUCAAACCAUUGAGUAGUAUCAUCACACUUUUUAUAAAUCCUAACCAUCCUAAGUGUUAAAUAUUAUUUCAUAAUUUUGAGUUCAAAGUUUACUGCAAAUAAAAAUGUUAAAUUUAUAAUUUAUAAUAUUGAUAAUAAACUUUAUUACAAAAUGUAAAUAAGGGGUCAUAAUAUUAUCUUCUCUUGUGAUAAUAAUGACUGCAUUAAUGUAUAAUAUACAUUAUAUAUAAAAGAAAAAUUGCAACAAAAUAGAAUGUUUAAUUUUAAUCAAUUAAUUUUAAGAUUUGUUGCAAUAGUAAACUACUUAUAUUUUGAAAAUGGAGAAAAAAAAUUAUAAAGUUAAAGUGAUUAAAUUAUAUUUUUUUUUAAGUAAUUAACUUUACAAUUCAUCUUCUUCGUUUUCACAAAAUCUAGGUUAGCCUGCUGUUUUUGCAGAAAGUUUCUACAAUUAAUUGAUUAAAAUUAAACAUUUCGUGACUUCAAGUACUGCUUUUUCUUCACUUUUUCUUGACUUUUGCAUAAGAGCGAAAGCAAUCGUUUAUAGCGAACACAUCUUUUCCGUACUUUUCUUCGUCUUGGUGGACUUCUUAAUGGUUAGAAAUAUAAGCGCGCGGUCUGUAGAUCUUGAGCAAGGAACCUCGUCGCAGCCCCUCGUUUCCUGACUUAAAGAGAGUUGCGAAGUUUCUUUGUUAUUCCCUUCCUGCCGACCUCCGUCGGGAUUUUGCCUGCAAAUCGGCCGGACAGACACUGCAAACUUUUGCUGGAACUUUUCAUCAGGCUCGCCAAAUGUAAAGCGCUGUUUGGUAUGAACAGUUUGCACGACGCCCGCAACAACCAUGCAUGGAGAUGAGAAAGCUUUAAUAGCUUUACCAAGCUUUUGUUUGGAUUAAACUUGUGUGCUUAGAGAAUUUAUUUUUUUCUCUAAUAUAAAAAUAUAAAUUUUAAUGUUUCAUAUCUAAAAAAAUUAAUUAAAAUUCUUUUAAAUCUAAUUAAUACUUCAAUCAUAUCCUUGGCAUUUUCAUAUACACAGUAAAUAAAAUUAUCUAACGUAUUUUAAGAAUAACUUAAUCUAGCGCUUUUUAAUUAUCAUAAUAACAUUAAUUUUGCAUAUCAAAUGCAUGUUCAUCCAUGUAGAAAUUCAAAUUCGCCACGUAAAACUGUGCUAAUUCUUGAGUCAUAAAAACUGAAGACUACGUAAAGCUAAGGUUAAAUGUCGACGACAGCUUUUUUCAUUAUCUCCAAGAUUUCACAUUCAACCAAGCCGUAAGUUUACGGUUCGUAAAUUUAGACGCAUCCGCAAUCUCUCACUCUCUCUCUCUCUCUUUUUCUCUCCGUCUCUCUUUCAUGAAGUAAGAAGGAAAGGCAGUUUGUAAAAAAUCUUCUCCGCUCUCACUACGAGUUUAGCGGGUUUGUCGAGCAGGUUUUACGCGGCGUAAACCUAAAUACGUGCACGGCGGAGUGAGGGGUAAGACUGCGGGGGUGCAAAGAAUAUCGCGCGCGCGAAUACGCGGCCGCGUGCUCACCUAGAAACAAACUCUGUCUCCCGUUGUCUCCGCAGGAAUUCAGCGGAUUAUCCCGGAUUUGCCGUACGGCGUAAGGAGGCGCAAUAUCUUAUCGUUCCCGUGACUUCUUUUUCCGAUCGAGGCACGUAAAAAAGUAUGCGGGAAGGCUGCGGCGAACGUACUAUUGGAGACACCAAACUUUCCGACAUAACGCCGUAAAGAUUCGGGUCACGAGUCAUGAUUUCGAAUCUCUUCUCGGAAAAAAAAGAAGUAAGAGAUUCUCGCUUUUUCUAAAGUACUAAUAGUGUGGUAACUUUAUUACACUAUGUUAGAUUAUACCAUAAUUGUAAUAGAUUACUCAUACAACGUUAUUGAAAGCGUCUACGGAAUAUAAACGUUAAGUGAUUUAUUUUGAGUUUGUGAGAACACGAUUAGGAUAAUGUGAUAUCUCCAGGUGCAAUAAAAAUUAAUAACUUAUAUCAAAAAAAAAUUGUUGCCGUACAAAGUUCGCCGUUUAUUACAGCAUGUUUUGCAACAACUGCAAUUUCUUGAUUGUCGCCUAAAUGGGCAGUGCUUUUUUAAAAAAUAAGCCUUUCUUGCUUAUUAAUAGUUUUUCCAUAUUGCCUGCCUUUAUCCUGUAUAUUUGUACAGUACAUUAAUAGAGGAAUUUUAGUUUUAUAUAGUCACAUAAACUAUUUUUAUUUUUUUUUUAAUUAUCUAACCAGAUCAUGUUUUUAUUAAAAUUAGCACAGUAUUUAAUUUCCAAGAAAUAAAGAGGCGUCGCUUUAGAAGAUAUAUGCCAGUAAUAGAGACCUUUAUAUUAUCUAAUAAGAUCUUUUUUAUAUAGUAUAAAUCAAUAUAAGUGAAUUUAUAUUUAUAUUUAUGCGUUACAUAAUAUAGAAGUUGAUAUAUGAAGAGAUGAUUAAUGGACGACUAAUAAGAACAGACAAUGAUAUAUUUUCUCGGAAAAACCGUGACUCAUGUUGCUCGACGAAAGAUUUUAUCACUGCAAAAUAAUAAGCCGAGUGAGAGUUGUUGCACAAUUGCAUCCGCGAAUGCCGAAUAAUUAGCUCUUGUAAAAAAAAGGGAGGGGGGGGAGCGAAGCGCUGCGCGAUGGAAAUAGCGAAAUGUGUUACUGCAGGCGGAGAGGAAAACGCGUUAAAUUUAAGCUCACGAAGAAUGCACUGCCGUAUUAAACCGGCUACGCGCGAUUAUACCAUUGGAGUCAGUACAGCACAUGUAAAAGUAAUUGCGCAGCAGCGGACCAGCGUGAAAACUCAUGGGAAUAAUUAAUGAAAAAUGAGAAGCGGUCGGUUGCCGGGGCCGAAAAAAUAUGAGCGUCAUAAGAACUUAGCGUAAAAUUUUAUGACGCUCUGUAUCAUCGGCACAGAGGAUAGAGAAUGAUCAAUCUAUUGCGAUUACAUAUGGCGUGAUAGCCGUAUUACGCGCUAUCUAUAUAAAGCGGAAGAAAGCGGAUAAAUCGAUACAGAGGCAUCUGAGCUUAACGCAAAUUUCGUUGACCUUAUUUUCGACGUGCGUGCCUUCCCUACGGAACACCUGCACGACGCCGAGCGAGUGGCAUGGCACGCGAAAGAAAACUUCAGAUGUCAUAGUCCUCGAUGAAACUUUUAAGUAGCUCACGACUGAAAUGAAAUAGAAUACAUUAUUUUGCAAAGGAAAUUUAUAUUUAAUCUCGUUUAUACAGAAUUCAAUUCUGCCCCCUUUCAACGUACUAAGAACUCGAGUUGCAGAGAGAACUCUCCUUUGUUACAGUUGAUGCCGGGGGUUCUUCUUCCUUCGUUGUUUGAAGUAGCAAUGACGACUCGAUACACAAGAAAUACGGACUUCCAAGAAGAAAUAAUCGCGCGGAACGCGUGAACAAACAGGUCGGCGGAGCCGAGCCUUUCAUCGGGACGUAACGUGGAAUCGAAAAGACCGGAGAGACGAACGGAAAAGGGGAUCAAGUCCGGCCUCGUCGUGUGUUACGGGAGGAGGAUGGGCGAUUCCGACGGGAUGGCGUAGGUCAGGAAGGCGAACUACGACGCCUCCCCCCUGGCCUCGCGCAAUCUACCAUCCCGAGAUCCUCGCGAGAGAAAGCGAGAGAGCAGGAACAGAUACAAAACGACGGAGAAAUGGAAAACGCAGCGGGGGAAGACGUAGAAAAAUAGAAGAGCGCCGGAUACGGGAGGAUCAACGGUAUUUUCAAUAGUGUAAACCUUGAUUGAGAGAGAAAGAGGGAGAGAGAGAGAGAGAGAGAGAGAGAGAGAGAGAGAGAGAGAGAGAGAGAGAGCAGAUUAAAGAAGCCGAACGAAUGGACCAAAAGAGAUAAGGUGAGUGCCGGUUGCACAAAGGAAACUGUCAAUGCCGCAUUCGAGUCGCGCGAGGAUGCGCGUUUCAAACGUAACGAUGCAAGAGAAACGAUCAUUCCCAAUAGGAACAUAAAUUUCAGGGGCACUUGCGCUCAUACCGGCUAGAUUCAAGAACGGUGUACAGCUCUGCGAUGAAGCAUCCAUCGUCUGAACUCCGCACGCGGACAGACAGAAUUAUCAACCCCCGAAGGGUCGUAAUUCCCGUAACUGCCUCGUAGGAUGUAUCGCCCAGCGAGAGAUAUAUAUGCCUGAUACGCUAUAUGUACGGUCGGGAUACGUACGCACUGCCCAACCCGGGCAGCACCCCAUUAUAAUCGCCGUCGCUUCUUUCGCUGAUUAAGCCCUCCUAAUCCGACUGAUAAGUAUCGACCAAUCGUAAGUGAGAUUUGCGUAAUUUUCACUGACAGCGGAACGCAACGUAUCGAGGAUAAACCAGGCGCAGGAUACAGGAUUGCUUUCGAGCGUAGACAAAGAGACAUCUUGAUAAACUCUAUCACCUCUCGAGACAACGCCGUAUCUGUUUUUCGUCUCCGCGGGACGCUGGCGCGGGAGAGAAAAAUGCUUCGGGAUAAAAUAAAAGUCGUACUCGGUGGAGAAGGGUAGCAGCGGCUUGACAGCGCUCACGAGGGAUGCUCGAUUUAACCUUGCUACAGUAAGGAAGAGGAAUCGAUGGCUCGCACACAUUCAGAGGAUAAAUCCUCGAUAACCAAAAAGACAACCUCCGCUUGAGGCAAGAGAAAAACGAAAAUACGCUCACGCCCUUGGCAAUUUAACUCUUAUUUCCAUUGUAGCGCACGUGAUUGUGAUAAGAUCAGCAUUUAAAAGAACAACGCGUUCCGGAUGUUUAUCACCUAGAAGAUGAUCGGUGUCCCAUUAAAUGUAGUUGAAACCGUGAUUAUUUUACGAUUAUUUGUAUUUCCCCGAUAAGCUGGACAUCGACAGUUAAGGAAAACGUUGUAAUAAUUGUGAUCCCGAAAAAAUGUUUCGCUUAGGAGUCGUUCAUUUUUUUUUUUUUUUUCCAAUCCGUAUGGAUUACACUUACAAAUCUCCGCAGCAAGCGGAAGCGUGCAAGAAUCGCGAAAGCCAUAGGAAGAAAUAUAGAAAGAUCAAGUUGGAAUAAUAUAUAUAGACUGUUUCAUCUCGGAGAGGAUAAAUCCUCCGAAAAGGGUUUUCUGUUCUCCAACCAGGCACGCGCAUUUUUCGUACGAAUCACUCAGAAGCGCAUAUAUAUGUUAACGGAUAAAACUGAGCGCGGAACAAACACCUUACAAGUGCACAAUUUUGUCAGAAUAAACCCUUGUUUGAGUCACGUUUCGGGUCAGGUCACUUCCAUCAGGUAAUCUAACAUGUAAGUAACGUUUUCAAAAGUGCUGAGAGCAACUCGAUCUGCUUACCAAAAAGCCCUUUCAGUAAAUACGACAGUGAAUAUGGUUGUAGACACGAUAUUUUGCUAUUGUAAUUAAAUUAUAUAUUAUAAUUUAUAAAUAUAAUUCCAACAGUCGUAAUAGUUAUAAUUCAUUUUAGUUAAAUUCUGUCUUAAUAGAAUUUUUAUUUUGAAAACUUUAUCGCUAAAGAAUGUUUUACCAUGAUGGUUGUAUCAUCAGUUACGGUACACUCUGCACAACAUAAUCUGAAAAAAGGUUAUGGAACAUCUUACAUAACGUAACCGGGAAGAUGACUCCACAAAAAAAUAAGUCAAAAAUGUUGAAAAAAAAUUACGUAUAAUGCAUUACUUUCGAGAUAAUCAAAUUAAAAAAUUGACAUAUUUUUAACACAAAAUAUAACGUACAAUUUCGUUUUUUGAUAAUCGUACUUUAAUAUCAUUAUUUAUACAUAGACUAAUAAGAUGGAUCAUGUGGUGUAAAUACAGUUGUUCAAAAAAAAAUUAUAUUUAACAUACUUUUUGUAAAGGCAAUUAUGUAUUUACAUAAUUUUUUAUAGCAAUUGAUUUAUCUCGUUAUUAUUUGCAUAAAGGUAUUAAAGUACGGUUAACUAAAAAUAAAUAGUUUACGAGAUAUUUCAGAUUUCAUGUCAAAAUAUACCAAUUUUCAAAUUCGAUUAUCUCGGGAAUAAUAAAAAAGAUUAUUCUCUCUCUAUGUAUUUGACUUACAAUAGAGUCACUGCACCAAUAAACAAA